rnacentral:rRNA from 1 species
AGAGCGAACGCUGGCGGCAGGCCUAAUACAUGCAAGUCGAGCGGUCCCUUCGGGGGCAGCGGCGGACGGGUGAGUAACGCGUGGGAACGUGCCCUUUGGUACGGAACAACUGAGGGAAACUUCAGCUAAUACCGUAUGUGCCCUUCGGGGGAAAGAUUUAUCGCCAUUGGAGCGGCCCGCGUUGGAUUAGGUAGUUGGUGAGGUAAAGGCUCACCAAGCCUACGAUCCAUAGCUGGUCUGAGAGAAUGAUCAGCCACACUGGGACUGAGACACGGCCCAGACUCCUACGGGAGGCAGCAGGUAGGGAAUCUUGCGCAAGUGGGACGAAAGCCUAGACGCAGCCAUGCCGCGUAGAAUGAUAGAAGGUCGUUAGGUAUUAGUAAAUUUCGUUCGAACCGGGACGUAUAAGUGGACCGGUACCGGAGAAGAACGCCCGACUACGUCGU